UGCGUAGGCGGGUUAAUAAGUCAGUGGUGAAAUCUUCCGGCUCAACCGGGAACCUGCCAUUGAUACUGUUAGUCUUGAGUUCGGCUGAGGUAGGCGGAAUGUGUAAUGUAGCGGUGAAAUGCUUAGAUAUUACACAGAACACCAAUUGCGUAGGCAGCUUACUAGACCGACACUGACGCUGAGGCACGAAAGCGUGGGGAGCGAACAGGAUUAGAUACCCUGGUAGUCC
rnacentral:rRNA from 1 species